rnacentral:rRNA from 1 species
CGUUCUGUCAAGUCCGAAUGUGAAAUUCCCCGGGCUCAACCUGGGAACUGCAUUCGAAACUGGCAGGCUAGAGUCUUGUAGAGGGGGGUAGAAUUUCCAGGUGUAGCGGUGAAAUGCGUAGAGAUCUGGAGGAAUACCGGUGGCGAAGGCGGCCCCCUGGACAAAGACUGACGCUCAGGUGCGAAAGCGUGGGGAGCAAACAGGAUUAGAUACCCUGGUAGUCCACGCCGUAAACGAUGUCGACUUGGAGGUUGUGCCCUUGAGGCGUGGCUUCCGGAGCUAACGCGUUAAGUCGACCGCCUGGGGAGUACGGCCGCAAGGUUAAAACUCAAAUGAAUUGACGGGGGCCCGCACAAGCGGUGGAGCAUGUGGUUUAAUUCGAUGCAACGCGAAGAACCUUACCUACUCUUGACAUCCAGAGAACUUUCCAGAGAUGGAUUGGUGCCUUCGGGAACUCUGAGACAGGUGCUGCAUGGCUGUCGUCAGCUCGUGUUGUGAAAUGUUGGGUUAAGUCCCGCAACGAGCGCAACCCUUAUCCUUUGUUGCCAGCGGUUAGGCCGGGAACUCAAAGGAGACUGCCAGUGAUAAACUGGAGGAAGGUGGGGAUGACGUCAAGUCAUCAUGGCCCUUACGAGUAGGGCUACACACGUGCUACAAUGGCGCAUACAAAGAGAAGCGACCUCGCGAGAGCAAGCGGACCUCAUAAAGUGCGUCGUAGUCCGGAUUGGAGUCUGCAACUCGACUCCAUGAAGUCGGAAUCGCUAGUAAUCGUAGAUCAGAAUGCUACGGUGAAUACGUUCCCGGGCCUUGUACACACCGCCCGUCACACCAUGGGAGUGGGUUGCAAAAGAAGUAGGUAGCUAACCUUCGGGAGGCGCUACCACUUGU